UACGUAGGGGGCGAGCGUUGUCCGGAUUUAUUGGGCGUAAAGAGCUCGUAGGCGGCUGUUCGAGUCGGGUGUGAAAUCCUGAGGCUUAACCUUGGGUCUGCAUUCGAUACUGGGCGGCUUGAGUCUGGUAGGGGGAUCUGGAAUUCCUGGUGUAGCGGUGGAAUGCGCAGAUAUCAGGAGGAACACCGGUGGCGAAGGCGGCAUCCUGGACCGACACUGACGCUGAGGAGCGAAAGCCAGGGGAGCAAACGGG
rnacentral:rRNA from 1 species